rnacentral:tRNA from 1 species
GGCCACGUGGCGAAGUGGAAACGCUGGGGUCUGCAAAACCUCGAUGCGCCGGUUCGAUUCCGGCCGUGGCCU